GGAGUUGUGGCUCAGUGGUAGAGUGCUCACCUAGCAUGUGUUAUGCCCUGGGUUCAAUCCUCAGCACCA
rnacentral:tRNA from 1 species